GUUGAAACACUGGUUUCAAUACGAUCAGUGAAGUUAAGCAAUAUUGUGUCUGGUCAGUACCUAGAUGGGUGGUCGCUUGUGAAUACCAGGUGCUGUAAG